rnacentral:tRNA from 2 species
GGGCGCAUAGCUCAGUGGGAGAGCACUACGUUGACAUCGUAGGGGUCGCUGGUUCAAUCCCGGCUGCGCCCACCA